CUACACUGUACGGGGUCAAGGCCUUCGAGGACCGUCGACUUGAGCAGCUUGAUGCCAAACGCCAGGCCAGGAAGGACAGGAGAGCAAACCCUGCUGCUGCCUUAGCCUGCCCGGUGUGUGGAAGAAUCUGUGCAUCGGACUUCGGGCUACGCUCACAUAUGAGGCGCCACUGACAUCAUCCUCGCUUCACGACGGACUUCCAUAAUAAGUGUUCUUAUAGAAGUUGGACGUUUUCUUCGAAGCACAGGCUUUUGAUGUGUGAACAGAGUUGGUACUGCAUUUGGUCAAAGUUUGCCUGGGAGUUUUGGCUCAAAUUGAUUCGCUUGGAAGUGAACCUUAAGGAGCCGUACCACAAUAUCACAACGCACAAAUGCAAAUUUGUUGUAAAUCUUUAUUAAAAAUUUUAAAAUUUAUA